rnacentral:rRNA from 1 species
AUUGAACGCUGGCGGCAGGCCUAACACAUGCAAGUCGGGCGAACGAGGCUUCGGCCAAGUGAGCGGCGAACGGGUGAGUAACACGUAGGAAUCUGCCUGGUAGUGGGGGACAACGUCUCGAAAGGGACGCUAAUACCGCAUACGCCCUACGGGGGAAAGCAGGGGCUCUUCGGACCUUGCGCUAUCAGAUGAGCCUGCGUCGGAUUAGCUAGUUGGUAGGGUAAAGGCCUACCAAGGCGACGAUCCGUAACUGGUCUGAGAGGAUGAUCAGUCACAACGGGACUGAGACACGGUCCGGACUCCUACGGGAGGCAGCAGUGGGGAAUAUUGGACAAUGGGGGCAACCCUGAUCCAGCCAUGCCGCGUGUGUGAAGAAGGCCUUCGGGUUGUAAAGCACUUUAGGUCGGGAGGAAGGUUCGCUGGCUAAUAUCCAGCGGAAUUGACGUUACCGACAGAAUAAGCACCGGCUAACUCCGUGCCAGCAGCCGCGGUAA